rnacentral:rRNA from 1 species
CUACGGGCGGCUCCAGUGGGGAAUAUUGCACAAUGGGCGCAAGCCUGAUGCAGCAACGCCGCGUGAGGGAUGAAGGCCUUCGGGUUGUAAACCUCUUUUAGCAGGGAAGAAGCGAAAGUGACGGUACCUGCAGAAAAAGCACCGGCUAACUACGUGCCAGCAGCCGCGGUAAUACGUAGGGUGCAAGCGUUGUCCGGAAUUAUUGGGCGUAAAGAGCUCGUAGGCGGUUUGUCACGUCUGCUGUGAAAAUCCAAGGCUCAACCUUGGACUUGCAGUGGGUACGGGCAGGCUAGAGUGCGGUAGGGGAGAUGGGAAUUCCUGGUGUAGCGGUGGAAUGCGCAGAUAUCAGGAGGAACACCAAUGGCGAAGGCACAUCUCUGGGCCGUAACUGACGCUGAGGAGCGAAAGCGUGGGGAGCGAACAGGAUUAGAUACCCCCGUAGUC